CUGGUUGAUCCUGCCAGUAGUCAUAUGCUUGUCUCAAAGAUUAAGCCAUGCAUGUCUAAGUAUAAAUAACUUUAUACUGUGAAACUGCGUACAGCUCAUUAUAUCAGCAAUAAUUUAUUUGAUGGUUUCUUACUACUUGGAUAACCGUAGUAAUUCUAGAGCUAAUACAUGCGUAAGGCCUGGACUCUUGCGGGAACGGGCGUAUUUAUUAGAUAAAAAACCAACGCGUUCCUCUGGGACGGUUGUUUGGUGAUUCAUAAUAACUUUUCGAAUCGCACGGCCUUGUGCUGGCGAUAGUUCAUUCAAAUUUCUGCCCUAUCAGCUUUCGACGGUAGUGUAGUGGACUACCGUGGCGUUAACGGGUGACGGAGAAUUAGGGUUCGAUUCCGGAGAGGGAGCCUGAGAAACGGCUACCACAUCCAAGGAAGGCAGCAGGCGCGCAAAUUACCCAAUCCUGACACAGUGAUGUAGUGACUAGAAAUAACCAUACCGGGCUUUUUUGGUCUGGUAAUGGGAAUGAGUGUAAUUUAAAUCCCUAUGCGAGGAUCCACUGGAGGGCAAGUCUGG
rnacentral:rRNA from 1 species